rnacentral:rRNA from 1 species
AUUGAACGCUGGCGGCAGGCCUAACACAUGCAAGUCGAGCGGAUGAAGGGGGCUUGCUCCUGGAUUCAGCGGCGGACGGGUGAGUAAUGCGCAGGAAUCUACCUCGUAGUGGGGGAUAACGUCUCGAAAGGGGCGCUAAUACCGCAUACGUUCUGAGGAAGAAAGCAGGGGACCUUCGGGCCUUGCGCUAUGAGAUGAGCUUGCGUCCGAUUAGCUAGUUGGUGGGGUAAAGGCCUACCAAGGCAACGAUCCGUAGCUGGUCUGAGAGGAUGAUCAGCCACACUGGAACUGAGACACGGUCCAGACUCCUACGGGAGGCAGCAGUGGGGAAUAUUGGACAAUGGGCGGAAGCCUGAUCCAGCAAUGCCGCGUGUGUGAAGAAGGCCUCGGUUGUAAG